UACGGAGGGUGCAAGCGUUAAUCGGAAUUACUGGGCGUAAAGCGUACGUAGGCGGUUCAAUAAGUCGGAUGUGAAAGCCCCGGGCUUAACCUGGGAAUGGCGUUUGAAACUGUCAGACUAGAGUGUGUCAGAGGGAGGUAGAAUUCCACGUGUAGCAGUGAAAUGCGUAGAGAUGUGGAGGAAUACCGAUGGCGAAGGCAGCCUCCUGGGAUAACACUGACGCUCAGGCACGAAAGCGUGGGGAGCGAACAAG
rnacentral:rRNA from 1 species